UUAAGUAUCUGGCAGGGGAACCUCCACAAUCACACUAGUGAUUUUCACAGGGCAAGGCACAUCCAUUCCAGUCUGGAUGUGCUGACCUGUGGGAUUUCCCCAGGUGUGGAAACCUCAAUUGUAUCAUUUGUGGUAAUGGGGGACUGCUUUUGCACUUCACCCUG
ensembl:snRNA U1 U1 spliceosomal RNA